AGCAGCCGCGGUAAUUCCAGCUCCAAUAGCGUAUAUUAAAGUUGUUGCAGUUAAAAAGCUCGUAGUUGAAUUUCGGGAUCAAUAUAUCGGUCGUGCCUCUGGUACGUACUGGUAUCAUUGAUUUCUCCCUUCUGACGAACCAUGAUUUCAUUUAUUUGGUGUCAUGGGGAGUUAGGACUGUUACUUUGAGAAAAUUAGAGUGUUUAAAGCAGGCAUUAGCUUGAAUACAUUAGCAUGGAAUAAUGAAAUAGGACGUUUGACCCUAUUUUGUUGGUUUCUAGGAUCGACGUAAUGAUUAAUAGGGAUAGUUGGGGGCAUUAGUAUUCAAUUGUCAGAGGUGAAAUUCUUGGAUUUAUUGAAGACUAACUACUGCGAAAGCAUUUGCCAAGGAUGUUUUCAUUAAUCAAGAACGAAAGUUAGGGGAUCGAAGACGAUCAGAUACCGUCGUAGUCUUAACCAUAAACUAUGCCGACUAGGGAUCGGAUGAUGUUAUUUUUAAUGACUCA
rnacentral:rRNA from 1 species